rnacentral:rRNA from 1 species
UACGAAGGGGGCUAGCGUUGCUCGGAAUCACUGGGCGUAAAGCGCACGUAGGCGGAUCUUUAAGUCAGGGGGGAAAUCCCAAGGCUCAACCUUGGAACUGCCUUUGAUACUGGGGAUCUCGAGUCCGGAAGAGGUUGGUGGAACUCCGAGUGUAGAGGUGAAAUUCGUAGAUAUUCGGAAGAACACCAGUGGCGAAGGCGGCCAACUGGUCCGGCACUGACGCUGAGGUGCGAAAGCGUGGGGAGCAAACAGG